GAAAUGCCGGUCAAAAGUCCACCUGCUG
rnacentral:sRNA from 1 species